ACAAGCGCUCGCUGUGGUUCUGGCAGCGAAGGGCGAGACUGGGCUCGCCAGGCGGAAGUGGUUGGAGACUGCGUGUUUUCCUAGAAAGUCCUCGACCUUCGUCGGGGAGAGGAGGGGAGUGAUAAAUUGGAAGGCGGACAAGCGACAAGUGCAGUACUGGAAAGACCCAAACAUACUUGGUUGUGACCUCAGGUCACAUCUCCCAAGAAGCAGUAAUGUUCCAGCAAUAAGAAAAGGACAGUUUUUUGUCUUUUGCAUGGUGAGCCUUAUAUGAAUUACAUCAAUUUUGUCACCAAUAUCCAUCAUCAGAACAUUUUGCCUACUCACUGUGAAGACAAUAAGGAUGAAGACCUUUAUGACAAUCCACUUCCACUUAAUGAAUAAUGAGGAAACUGGGGCACAGAGAAAUUAAGUGACUUGUCCAGGAGGACAGGGCCAAUAACCGGUGGAACCAUAAGAAAAAAAUCCAGUAACAGCUUUGAAAAAGAAAGAUAACAAUGACCUGUGUGUACAGCGUCCAAGGGAACCAUUAGCAGUGGAGCU
rnacentral:antisense_RNA from 1 species